CGCCGCGUGAGUGAAGAAGGUUUUCGGAUCGUAAAGCUCUGUUGUAAGUCAAGAACGUGUGUGAGAGUGGAAAGUUCACACAGUGACGGUAGCUUACCAGAAAGGGACGGCUAACUACGUGCCAGCAGCCGCGGUAAUACGUAGGUCCCGAGCGUUGUCCGGAUUUAUUGGGCGUAAAGGGAGCGCAGGCGGUCAGGAAAGUCUGGAGUAAAAGGCUAUGGCUCAACCAUAGUGUGCUCUGGAAACUGUCUGACUUGAGUGCAGAAGGGGAGAGUGGAAUUCCAUGUGUAGCGGUGAAAUGCGUAGAUAUAUGGAGGAACACCAGUGGCGAAAGCGGCUCUCUGGUCUGUCACUGACGCUGAGGCUCGAAAGCGUGGGUAGCGAACAGGAUUAGAUACCCUGGUAGUCCACGCCGUAAACGAUGAGUGCUAGGUGUUAGGCCCUUUCCGGGGCUUAGUGCCGGAGCUAACGCAAUAAGCACUCCGCCUGGGGAGUACGACCGCAAGGUUGAAACUCAAAGGAAUUGACGGGGGCCCGCACAAGCGGUGGAGCAUGUGGUUUAAUUCGAAGCAACGCGAAGAACCUUACCAGGUCUUGACAUCCCGAUGCUAUUCUUAGAGAUAGGAAGUUACUUCGGUACAUCGGAGACAGGUGGUGCAUGGUUGUCGUCAGCUCGUGUC
rnacentral:rRNA from 1 species